GAUGAACGCUGGCGGCGUGCCUAAUACAUGCAAGUCGAGCGAACAGACGAGGAGCUUGCUCCUCUGACGUUAGCGGCGGACGGGUGAGUAACACGUGGAUAACCUACCUAUAAGACUGGGAUAACUUCGGGAAACCGGAGCUAAUACCGGAUAAUAUAUUGAACCGCAUGGUUCAAUAGUGAAAGACGGUUUUGCUGUCACUUAUAGAUGGAUCCGCGCCGCAUUAGCUAGUUGGUAAGGUAACGGCUUACCAAGGCAACGAUGCGUAGCCGACCUGAGAAGGUGAUCGGCCACACUGGAAGUGAGACACGGUCCAGACUCCUACAGGAGGCAGCAGUAGGGAAUCUUCCGCAAUGGACGAAAGCCUGACGGAGCAACGCCGCGUGAGUGAUGAAGGUCUUCGGAUCGUAAAACUCUGUUAUUAGGGAAGAACAAAUGUGUAAGUAACUAUGCACGUCUUGACGGUACCUAAUCAGAAAGCCACGGCUAACUACGUG
rnacentral:rRNA from 1 species